rnacentral:rRNA from 1 species
GACGAACGCUGGCGGCGUGCUUAACACAUGCAAGUCGAACGGAAAGGCCCUGCUUUUGUGGGGUGCUCGAGUGGCGAACGGGUGAGUAUCACGUGAGUAACCUGCCCUGGACUUUGGGAUAACUUCAGGAAACUGGGGCUAAUACCGGAUAGGAGCUCCUGCUGCAUGGUGGGGGUUGGAAAGUUUCGGCGGUUGGGGAUGGACUCGCGGCUUAUCAGCUUGUUGGUGGGGUAGUGGCUUACCAAGGCUUUGACGGGUAGCCGGCCUGAGAGGGUGACCGGCCACAUUGGGACUGAGAUACGGCCCAGACUCCUACGGGAGGCAGCAGUGGGGAAUAUUGCACAAUGGGCGGAAGCCUGAUGCAGCAACGCCGCGUGCGGGAUGACGGCCUUCGGGUUGUAAACCGCUUUCGCCUGUGACGAAGCGUGAGUGACGGUAAUGGGUAAAGAAGCACCGGCUAACUACGUG